CCCAAGGGAGGCCAGGGUGUCGUCCCGGCUGUGACAGUCACUGCCGGGGACUGCGGGUGAGAUGUGUCGCUCUCUGUGCAGUGUCCAUAGGAACAGCUGGGGACACUCAGCCCCAACCCGGCUGCCUCCCAGGGCUGUUGAGAGAUGCAGUGAAAAAGGCACACAAGACUUUUCAUAAACCUUGACCAUGAGGGUGAGGGUGAAUCCUCUCCGUGACAACACCAGCUUGUGUAACUCAGGAUCUGUGUGUCUGCUAAUUGGCCCCUGGGCUCCGGAGCCCCUUGGCAGCGGCUGCACAGGCGCCCCCAUGGUGUGAUGUUAGCCUCCCAAAAUGGGAGCCUCCCUUUAUGAGACUUAAUCUUUUAUUUUACUCCAGUUCUCAUGCCAGGGCAGAAUUCUACUCUUGUUUCCUCACUCCUGCAACUGAUCACACCCUGCUGGAUCACUGAUGAUCGUGAAGGAAAGCUUAGUGCUAAAUGAAUGAGCCAAGGAAGGAGAAGAAAGAAAUCCCAGGAGGUGUCCAGGCAGAUACGGGUCUCACGUCCUCCCUGGAAAAGGAAACAGCUUCUCCUCUGUCUGUUCCCUCACCUCCAUGUGUGUAUUUUUGGAGCUAAAACUCGGGACAUCUGGUCCAAUAAGGAGGAUGAGCUCCUAGACGGUAGGAGAUGCGAAAUCAGGGCUGCCCGGGACUGAGAGGUGAGCUGGGCUGCUGCCCCGCUGGGCUGGGGACAAACUGGGCACUCAGCCAUAGCCAGCAGGGCCCGCCGGGGCUGAACAGGAGGCAAGGACACGCUUGCCCUUCCUCCAUGGUUCUCCAGGAUGUCCUCAGAGCUCCAGGGGGAGCACACAGCCCAGCAUCCACCUCGCCCCCCCCAACCUGGUUGUCAGUUCCAGCACGUUCCCCCUUGCCGAGGCCCCCCAGCCAAGGCUGCCUGAAAAACUCCACCGGGAGCAUGUACAGGACACCUUGGGUCUAAUGUAACAUUUAAUGGCCAAAUCUCCUCAGGCCCCUGCGCUAAUACAGAGCUAUCUCACUGGUUCUUACCAGACAGAGUCACACUGCUAAUGGCUCCAGGGCUGAACCUGGGCAAGAGGGAAGGGGUGAAGGACGCAGUGAUCACAGACACCUUGCA